CGGGGGAAAGCAGGGGACCUUCGGGCCUUGCGCUGAUGGAUAAGCCCAGGUGGGAUUAGCUAGUAGGUGGGGUAAUGGCUCACCUAGGCAACGAUCCCUAGCUGGUCUGAGAGGAUGAUCAGCCACACUGGGACUGAGACACGGCCCAGACUCCUACGGGAGGCAGCAGUGGGGAAUAUUGCACAAUGGGGGAAACCCUGAUGCAGCCAUGCCGCGUGUGUGAAGAAGGCCUUCGGGUUGUAAAGCACUUUCAGCGAGGAGGAAAGGGUGUAAGUUAAUACCUUACAUCUGUGACGUUACUCGCAGAAGAAGCACCGGCUAACUCCGUGCCAGCAGCCGCGGUAAUACGGAGGGUGCGAGCGUUAAUCGGAAUUACUGGGCGUAAAGCGUGCGCAGGCGGUUUGUUAAGCGAGAUGUGAAAGCCCCGGGCUCAACCUGGGAACCGCAUUUCGAACUGGCAAACUAGAGUC
rnacentral:rRNA from 1 species